UGCAUGUCUAAGUAUAAGCAAUUAUACAGCGAAACUGCGAAUGGCUCAUUAUAUAAGUUAUCGUCUAUUUGAUAGUACCUUACUACUUGGAUAACCGUGGUAAUUCUAGAGCUAAUACAUGCUAAAAAUCCCGACUUCGGAAGGGAUGUAUUUAUUAGAUUAAAAACCAAUGCCCUCUGGGCUUCUUGGUGAUUCAUAGUAACUUUUCGAAUCGCACGGCCUUGCGCCGGCGAUGGUUCAUUCAAAUUUCUUCCCUAUCAACUUUCGAUGUUUGGGUCUUGGCCAAACAUGGUCGCAACGGGUAACGGAGGGUUAGGGCUCGACCCCGGAGAAGGAGCCUGAGAAACGGCUACUACAUCCAAGGAAGGCAGCAGGCGCGCAAAUUACCCAAUCCCGAUUCGGGGAGGUAGUGACAAUAAAUACUGAUACAGGGCUCUUUUGGGUCUUGUAAUUGGAAUGAGUACAAUUUAAAUCUCUUAACGAGGAACAAUUGGAGGGCAAGUCUGGUGCCAGCAGCCGCGGUAAUUCCAGCUCCAAUAGCGUAUAUUAAAGUUGUUGUGGUUAAAAAGCUCGUAGUUGAACCUUGGGCCUGGCUGGCCGGUCCGCCUCACCGCGUGCACUGGUCCGGCCGGGCCUUUCCCUCUGUGGAACCCCAUGCUCUUCACUGAGUGUGGCGGUGAAACAGGACUUUUACUUUGAAAAAAUUAGAGUGCUCCAGGCAGGCCUAUGCUCGAAUACAUUAGCAUGGAAUAAUAAAAUAGGACGCGUGGUUCUAUUUUGUUGGUUUCUAGGACCGCCGUAAUGAUUAAUAGGGACAGUCGGGGGCAUCAGUAUUCAAUUGUCAGAGGUGAAAUUCUUGGAUUUAUUGAAGACUAACUACUGCGAAAGCAUUUGCCAAGGAUGUUUUCAUUAAUCAGGAACGAAAGUUAGGGGAUCGAAGACGAUCAGAUACCGUCGUAGUCUUAACCAUAAACUAUGCCGACUAGGGAUCGGACGAUGUUAUUUUUUGACGCGUUCGGCACCUUACGAAAAAUCAAAGUGCUUGGGCUCCAGGGGGA
rnacentral:rRNA from 1 species